rnacentral:rRNA from 1 species
UCACCAAGGCGACGACGGGUAGCCGGCCUGAGAGGGUGACCGGCCACACUGGGACUGAGACACGGCCCAGACUCCUACGGGAGGCAGCAGUGGGGAAUAUUGCACAAUGGGCGCAAGCCUGAUGCAGCGACGCCGCGUGAGGGAUGACGGCCUUCGGGUUGUAAACCUCUUUCAGUAGGGAAGAAGCGAAAGUGACGGUACCUGCAGAAGAAGCACCGGCUAACUACGUGCCAGCAGCCGCGGUAAUACGUAGGGUGCGAGCGUUAUCCGGAAUUAUUGGGCGUAAAGAGCUCGUAGGCGGUUUGUCGCGUCUGUCGUGAAAGUCCGGGGCUUAACCCCGGAUCUGCGGUGGGUACGGGCAGACUAGAGUGCAGUAGGGGAGACUGGAAUUCCUGGUGUAGCGGUGGAAUGCGCAGAUAUCAGGAGGAACACCGAUGGCGAAGGCAGGUCUCUGGGCUGUAACUGACGCUGAGGAGCGAAAGCAUGGGGAGCGAACAGGAUUAGAUACCC